rnacentral:rRNA from 1 species
AUUGAACGCUGGCGGCAUGCCUUACACAUGCAAGUCGAACGGCAGCACGGGAGCAAUCCUGGUGGCGAGUGGCGAACGGGUGAGUAAUAUAUCGGAACGUGCCCAGUCGUGGGGGAUAACGUAGCGAAAGCUACGCUAAUACCGCAUACGAUCUAUGGAUGAAAGCGGGGGAUCGCAAGACCUCGCGCGAUUGGAGCGGCCGAUAUCAGAUUAGGUAGUUGGUGAGGUAAAGGCUCACCAAGCCGACGAUCUGUAGCUGGUCUGAGAGGACGACCAGCCACACUGGGACUGAGACACGGCCCAGACUCCUACGGGAGGCAGCAGUGGGGAAUUUUUGGACAAUGGGCGCAAGCCUGAUCCAGCAAUGCCGCGUGCAGGAUGAAGGCCUCGGUUGGUUAAC